rnacentral:rRNA from 1 species
CCUACGGGGGUCAGCAGUGGGGAAUAUUGGGCAAUGGGCGCAAGCCUGACCCAGCAACGCCGCGUGAAGGAAGAAGGCCCUCGGGUUGUAAACUUCUUUUAUUCGGGACGAAACAAAUUACGGUACCGAAUGAAUAAGCCACGGCUAACUACGUGCCAGCAGCCGCGGUAAUCCGUAGGUGGCAAGCGUUAUCCGGCUUUACUGGGUGUAAAGUGCGUGUAGGCGGGAGAGCAAGGCAGACGUGAAAGUCCAGGGCUCAACGCUGGAAGUGCGUUUGAAACUGUUCUUCUUGAGUGAUGGAGAGGCAGGCGGAAUUCCGGGUGUAGCGGUGAAAUGCGUAGAGAUACGGAGGAACACCAGUGGCGAAGGCGGCCUGAUGGACAUUAACGGACGCUGAGGCGCGAAAGCGUGGGGAGCAAACAGGAUUAGAUACCCUAGUAGUC